UACGUAGGGUGCCAGCGUUAAUCGGAAUUACUGGGCGUAAAGCGUGCGCAGGCGGUUUUGUAAGUCUGACGUGAAAUCCCCGGGCUCAACCUGGGAAUUGCGAUGGAGACUGCAAGGCUAGAAUCUGGCAGAGGGGGGUAGAAUUCCACGUGUAGCAGUGAAAUGCGUAGAGAUGUGGAGGAACACCGAUGGCGAAGGCAGCCCCCUGGGUCAAGAUUGACGCUCAUGCACGAAAGCGUGGGGAGCAAACAGG
rnacentral:rRNA from 1 species